UGCCCAGACUCCUACGGGAGGCAGCAGUGGGGAAUAUUGCGCAAUGGGGGAAACCCUGAUGCAGCGACGCCGCGUGAGCGAUGAAGUAUUUCGGUAUGUAAAGCUCUAUCAGCAGGGAAGAAAAUGACGGUACCUGACUAAGAAGCCCCGGCUAACUACGUGCCAGCAGCCGCGGUAAUACGUAGGGGGCAAGCGUUAUCCGGAAUUACUGGGUGUAAAGGGAGCGUAGACGGUGAUGCAAGUCUGGAGUGAAAGGCGGGGGCCCAACCCCCGGACUGCUCUGGAAACUGUAUGACUUGAGUGCAGGAGAGGUAAGCGGAAUUCCUAGUGUAGCGGUGAAAUGCGUAGAUAUUAGGAGGAACACCAGUGGCGAAGGCGGCUUACUGGACUGUAACUGACGUUGAGGCUCGAAAGCGUGGGGAGCAAACAGGAUUAGAUCCCCCUGUA
rnacentral:rRNA from 1 species